GACAGAGGGUGCAAACGUUGUUCGGAAUUACUGGGCGUAAAGCGCGUGUAGGCGGCUAAGUAAGUCGGGCGUGAAAUCCCACGGCUCAACCGUGGAAGUGCACUCGAAACUGCGUAGCUAGAGUCCUGGAGAGGAAGGUGGAAUGCUUGGUGUAGAGGUGAAAUUCGUAGAUAUCAAGCGGAACACCGGUGGCGAAGGCGGCCUUCUGGACAGUGACUGACGCUGAGACGCGAAAGCAUGGGGAGCAAACAGG
rnacentral:rRNA from 1 species